rnacentral:rRNA from 1 species
AGUGAACGCUGGCGGUAGGCCUAACACAUGCAAGUCGAACGGCAGCACAGUAAGAGCUUGCUCUUACGGGUGGCGAGUGGCGGACGGGUGAGGAAUACAUCGGAAUCUACUUUUUCGUUGGGGAUAACGUAGGGAAACUUACGCUAAUACCGCAUACGACCUACGGGUGAAAGCAGGGGAUCUUCGGACCUUGCGCGAUUGAAUGAGCCGAUGUCGGAUUAGCUAGUUGGCGGGGUAAAGGCCCACCAAGGCGACGAUCCGUAGCUGGUCUGAGAGGAUGAUCAGCCACACUGGAACUGAGACACGGUCCAGACUCCUACGGGAGGCAGCAGUGGGGAAUAUUGGAUAAUGGGCGCAAGCCUGAUCCAGCCAUACCGCGUGGGUGAAGAAGGCCUUCGGGUUGUAAAGCCCUUUUGUUGGGAAAGAAAAGCAGCAGGUUAAUACCCCGCUGUUCUGACGGUACCCAAAGAAUAAGCACCGGCUAACUUCGUG